rnacentral:rRNA from 1 species
AUUGAACGCUGGCGGCAUGCCUUACACAUGCAAGUCGAACGGUAACGGGCCUUCGGGUGCCGACGAGUGGCGAACGGGUGAGUAAUACAUCGGAACGUGCCCGAUCGUGGGGGAUAACGAGGCGAAAGCUUUGCUAAUACCGCAUACGAUCUACGGAUGAAAGCAGGGGACCGCAAGGCCUUGCGCGGACGGAGCGGCCGAUGGCAGAUUAGGUAGUUGGUGGGAUAAAAGCUUACCAAGCCGACGAUCUGUAGCUGGUCUGAGAGGAUGAUCAGCCACACUGGACUGAGACACGGCCCAGACUCCUACGGGAGGCAGCAGUGGGGAAUUUUGGACAAUGGGCGCAAGCCUGAUCCAGCCAUGCCGCGUGCAGGAUGAAGGCCUUCGGGUUGUAAACUGCUUUUGUACGGAACGAAAAGCCUUCUUUUAAUACAGGAGGGUCAUGACGGUACCGUAAGAAUAAGCACCGGCUAACUACGUG